rnacentral:rRNA from 1 species
UAACAAGGAUUCCCCUAGUAACUGCGAGUGAAGCGGGAAAAGCUCAAAUUUAAAAUCUGGCAGCUUCAGUUGUCCGAGUUGUAAUCUAGAGACGCAUUUUCUACUUGGCCCGUGUACAAGUCUCUUGGAAUAGAGCGUCAUAGAGGGUGAAAAUCCCGUCCAUGACACGGAUCCCCUUGUAAUGUGUUAUGCUGUCAAAGAGUCGAGUUGUUUGGGAAUGCAGCUCAAAAUGGGUGGUAAAUUCCAUCUAAAGCUAAAUAUUGGCGAGAGACCGAUAGCGAACAAGUACCGUGAGGGAAAGAUGAAAAGCACUUUGGAAAGAGAGUUAAACAGUACGUGAAAUUGUUGAAAGGGAAACGCUUGAAGUCAGUCGCGUUCAUUGAGACUCAGCCUUGCUUCAGCUUGGUGUACUUCUCAGUUAACGGGUCAACAUCAAUUUUGGUUAGUGGAUAAAGGUAGGGGAAAUGUGGCACCUUCGGGUGUGUUAUAGUCCCUUACUGCAUACACUGACUGGGAUUGAGGAUCGCAGCACGCCCUUUGGGCCGGGGGUUCGCCCCACGGAACCGUGCUUAGGAUGUUGGCAUAAUGGCUUUAAGCGACCCGUCUUGAAACACGGACCAAGGAGUCUAACAUGCUUGCAAGUGUUAGGGUGGAAAACCCUUGCGCGUAAUGAAAGUGAAAGUUGGGACCCUUCGCGGGGGCACCGACGCCCGGCCCUGAAGUUCUCUGACGGUGCUGCGGUAGAGCACGUAUGUUGGGACCCGAAAGAUGGUGAACUAUGCCUGAAUAGGGUGAAGCCAGGGGAAACCCUGGUGGAGGCUCGUAGCGAUUCUGACGUGCAAAUCGAUCGUCAAAUUUGGG